UCCAGAGUGGCAUAGUGGUUUGAGCAUUGGACUAUGAAUCUGGAGACCAAGGUUCGAAUCCUUGGGCA
rnacentral:tRNA from 1 species